GCCUAGAUAGCUUGGUUGUUAUCGCAUCUGCCUUGAAAGCGCUAGGUCGCGGGUUCGAUUCCCGCCCGGGGCA
rfam:Asian citrus Psyllid, Diaphorina citri - Florida Strain, whole genome shotgun sequence.